AUAUUCCGUCAGAGAACAAAGCGGAAACAGACGCCAUUAUUUGAAAUGCAACGCGGACCAAUAGCGUUUUCCCAGGACGAACGCAUCCUGUGCCCUCAUUCCGAAUAUUGAAAUGUGUUGUGCAGAGAACGACAUUGAUAUUGAGAUAUUGUCCUGCUGCGCAAAACAAUGAGGCCUACAACAAUUGUGAUUUUUCUCACGGUCACCCUGGUGGUGCUCCUCUGCUACGCUGAAGCCAAGAACAAGAAGUCAAGUCGCGAGCUGAGUGCAAAUAAGGACUCGUCGGCAACCUCAAAAAUACCGGGCAGUGUUACUCCAGAUUUGAAAACAAAAAGAGGACGGAAGAAGGCGAGGAUUGCGGCAAAGCUGGCGAAGCUUCAAAGAUCGAGUGAUCCUAACAAAAUUGCUGAGUGGAAACAAAAGAGAGCGGAAAAAAUUGCCGAGAGAAAGCGUAAACAAGCGGAAGAAGAAAUGAAGAAGAUGGGCAUCACCAAAGCAUAAAUUGCAGCUUGUUUGCAAUAAUAUUUGUGUGCAAUAUUCCUGGAUUAAUUAAAAUGUUUGAGAUUA